UACUGCCUGUAAGACUGGGAUAACUCCGGGAAACCGGGGCUAAUACCGGAUGCUUGAUUGAACCGCAUGGUUCAAUCAUAAAAGGUGGCUUUUAGCUACCACUUGCAGAUGGACCCGCGGCGCAUUAGCUAGUUGGUGAGGUAACGGCUCACCAAGGCGACGAUGCGUAGCCGACCUGAGAGGGUGAUCGGCCACACUGGGACUGAGACACGGCCCAGACUCCUACGGGAGGCAGCAGUAGGGAAUCUUCCGCAAUGGACGAAAGUCUGACGGAGCAACGCCGCGUGAGUGAUGAAGGUUUUCGGAUCGUAAAACUCUGUUGUUAGGGAAGAACAAGUACCGUUCGAAUAGGGCGGCACCUUGACGGUACCUAACCAGAAAGCCACGGCUAACUACGUGCCAGCAGCCGCGGUAAUACGUAGGUGGCAAGCGUUGUCCGGAAUUAUUGGGCGUAAAGCGCGCGCAGGCGGUUUCUUAAGUCUGAUGUGAAAGCCCCCGGCUCAACCGGGGAGGGUCAUUGGAAACUGGGGAACUUGAGUGCAGAAGAGGAGAGUGGAAUUCCACGUGUAGCGGUGAAAUGCGUAGAGAUGUGGAGGAACACCAGUGGCGAAGGCGACUCUCUGGUCUGUAACUGACGCUGAGGCGCGAAAGCGUGGGGAGCGAACAGGAUUAGAUACCCUGGUAGUCCACGCCGUAAACGAUGAGUGCUAAGUGUUAGAGGGUUUCCGCCCUUUAGUGCUGCAGCAAACGCAUUAAGCACUCCGCCUGGGGAGUACGGUCGCAAGACUGAAACUCAAAGGAAUUGACGGGGGCCCGCACAAGCGGUGGAGCAUGUGGUUUAAUUCGAAGCAACGCGAAGAACCUUACCAGGUCUUGACAUCCUCUGACAACCCUAGAGAUAGGGCUUCCCCUUCGGGGGCAGAGUGACAGGUGGUGCAUGGUUGUCGUCAGCUCGUGUCGUGAGAUGUUGGGUUAAGUCCCGCAACGAGCGCAACCCUUGAUCUUAGUUGCCAGCAUUCAGUUGGGCACUCUAAGGUGACUGCCGGUGACAAACCGGAGGAAGGUGGGGAUGACGUCAAAUCAUCAUGCCCCUUAUGACCUGGGCUACACACGUGCUACAAUGGGCAGAACAAAGGGCAGCGAAGCCGCGAGGCUAAGCCAAUCCCACAAAUCUGUUCUCAGUUCGGAUCGCAGUCUGCAACUCGACUGCGUGAAGCUGGAAUCGCUAGUAAUCGCGGAUCAGCAUGCCGCGGUGAAUACGUA
rnacentral:rRNA from 1 species